rnacentral:lncRNA from 1 species
AAUAAUAAUUCUAGCAUAACUAAUUUCAGUAUAAUUUAUCUUAAUAUAUCUUAUGCCAAUAUAAAUGAUAUUCCAAACAAACGAUCUCAAAGUAAUUACUGGCCUUUUGAGCGACAUGGAGACGUCUUAUACCAAUAUAAAUGAUAUUCCAAACAAACGAUCUCAAAGUAAUUACUGGCCUUUUGAGCGACAUGGAGACACAUGGGAAAUGGGUGUCUCUAUAUAAAUAUAUAUUUUUAAAAGAAAAAUAUUAAGAAACUUUAGAAGUAUUUAUACAAAAUUUGAACAUAUACUAUAGAUGAACGAUGAAUGCAAUUAUAAUUUGAAGCUAUUAACUAAAAAAAUUGAUUUAAUUCUAGUUGCAUUGUGAGAUCAUGAAUCAUGUAUUAUACUAUAAUAUAAUUGUAUUGGAAAAAAAUAAGUUUAUAUUUAUUGAAGUAUUUAAGGAUCACACGUCAUGAUGUGAAGGUUGGUCAGAGAAUGAUGAUUAGUAAAGAGGUAUGAGUUGCAACAAAUACGAGCACUAGCACCAACAAAGGAACGAGCAGAGCCACGAGCACAUGCACGAGUAGAGGCACGAGUAAACUCAACGCUCGUAUCUAUUUAAAUCCAAGAAUUCAGGAGAAUUAACCUGACGGGAUAAGGAAGUAUAGAUACAAUACUUAAUGAACAUUAAAUAUUGAAAAUGUUAGAAAAUCUGUAUUAAAUACAAUAAUAAUAUAACGUAGCAUUUAAUGUCAUUAAUUGUCAAUAAUUACCUUAUUAUGAAAAAGGCAAAAUGCAUAUCUCCAAGAUAGCUAUAAAAGGGAGAGAAUGGAUCAAUUGUGGGGACAUGAAAUACUACAUGAAUACACUUGUUUACU